rnacentral:lncRNA from 1 species
CGCUCAUAUGAACUUCAGUCACUUCAUUAAGAUGAUAAACGUGCAGUUCUCUCGCAGUGCAGUGUGACUGUGUCAGGACACCGUGGUGGAUGAUCUCCAAAACUGUGAGAGGACAAUUAAAAAAAAAAGUGAAAUCAUGACUUCUCCACAAAUAUAAAUGGACAUGUGUCAAGGAUUUCAACUUGUUAACUCAGGAAGAAGCAGUAAGGCAAAGAAAGCCAAUGCAUCGUUGCAGCCGCAUUUCCCACUUCCAGUUUCAGUCAUCUGCUUGAUCAGAACACGUUUUUGGAAGUAACAACACGAAUCAGUGGAGCCCCCAGAAAGAAACCAUUAUUACUCUGAUUAAUGGAAGGUAC